AGCACCGCCGUAACACCGGCUCCGGGCGCGCGCUCAUUCGAAAACAGCGGAACGGAAGACGACAGAGGCAUAAUCGAGAGGUCCGCAUGACGCACACGACGCGGACGCCGCAGCAAGUUUGAAGGAAGUGUCUCACAAUGCGACGCUUUUCGCGCCGCGACUUAAGGUUUGGAACGGUUAAGGAACGAAAGAAGCCCGAAUCGCUGACUCGCAGUGAGUCUGCCCAGAUCGCCUCAACAUGUCGCGCAAACAAAUAGAUGGCGAUACUAGAUGAAGUUUGAAGA
rnacentral:misc_RNA from 1 species